rnacentral:rRNA from 1 species
UACGUAGGGGGCUAGCGUUGUCCGGAAUCAUUGGGCGUAAAGAGCGUGUAGGCGGUCCGGUAAGUCCGCUGUGAAAGUCGGGGGCUCAACCCUCGAAUGCCGGUGGAUACUGUCGGGCUAGAGUGCGGAAGAGGCGAGUGGAAUUCCUGGUGUAGCGGUGAAAUGCGCAGAUAUCAGGAAGAACACCCGUGGCGAAGGCGGUUCUCUGGAACGCAACUGACGCUGAGACGCGAAAGCGUGGGGAGCAAACAGG